GUGACUAUAACAAAAAAAAAAAAAUUUACAGAGGCAUUGAGCUGUGGUCUUCUAUUGUGGAACACAAAGUUAAAAUAACUAGGAAUCGGGGCACCUGGGUGGCUCAGUGGGUUUAAGCCUCUGCCUUCCGGUCUGGUCUUGAUCCCAGAGCCCUGGGAUCGAGCCCCGCGUCAGGCUCUCUGCUCAGCAGGGAGCCUGCCCCUCUCUCUUUCUCUCUCUCUCUCUCUGCCUGCCUCUCUGCCUACUUGUGAUCUCUCUCUAUCGAAUAAAUAAAUAAAAUCUUAAAAAAAAUAUUAAGUAGGAAUCAAUAACUCAUUAGUGAGUUAUAAAAAAAAACCAGUGAGGCUGAGAGGAAACCAAGAUGUGAUCUUCACACCAUGCAACAAACACCACUUCAAAAAAAAAAAAAAAUCUUUCAGUGCUGUUUGUUCUCUAAUUUGUUCUUUAUUGCACAUGUUUUUCUUUGUUACAUAAGUAUGUGUUUAUCUUAUAAAGUAUGGAUAUGCAACAAAUCUCAAAUAAAAUCACUCAGAAACCACAUUCCUCUAAAAUAAUACCACUGGCAAUAUUGUGACAAGAUCAUUUUAGAUGUUAUGGACUGCAUAUGUAGAUAGAUAGAGGAUCACAUUUUGCAUCCACUUUCACUUACUGCUUCAUUACUGCCAUGUUCCGAAGCGCCCAAAGUUGCAUGUUUUCUGAAGUUACUCUUCACCUGUGUUGUGUGUGCCAGCCACUCGGAAUCCGGGCUCAUGAGUGCUAUACCAGGCAAAAUUACCUGCAUCUCUCACCUACCACUCCCCUCUCAUCCGACUUUGCCAGCUGGCUUAAGCAAGUGACUAAUCACAGCAUACCAUUUUCUUUUCCAGAUGGUAGUUAAAAUAAUAAAUCUGGGCAUGGGGAAAAUAAAUUAAUAUUAGUAGUAUCUAUUGCAACUAUAUUUAUCAUAGAUUUAAACUGUGUGGAUAUGGCAUUCUAGUCCUGCUUUAAUAAAUGUAUUUUUUAAAUGAUAUCCACAAAAUAUUUUCCUUCCAAAAUUAUGGGAGAUAUUUAACACACUUGAGAGAAAAUUUCUAAAUAAUCAAUUUGUACUUAGAAGCGAGACGUGAUCCUUGUUUCUCCAGGCAUGUGUAGUUUGCCGCCAUGUGAUAAACACAACAAGGAAAAGAAGAGCAUCUACUUAAGAGAAAGCCGUGAUUGUGGGAAUGAGAGACAGCAUGACCAGAUUUAAUGUUAAAGCAAAACUAAAAACUCUAGGAUGGCACUUAAGUGAGCGUGAUGGGAAAGUAUUGUUUCCUUAUAAUGAUUUUAAAUGGAAAUUACAAUUCAAUCACAAAUAAAAGUAAAUUGUAGACAGUGAGGCGAACAAAUCUGUUUCACUCGGAUUCACGGUGAUUAUCAAAUUAGCAGCUACUCAUUCACCACUAACCGUUUUCAGUCUUCUUGGUCUCUCUAACAACCCUGAACUGAAGCUUCAUGGUGAUUGCAAUAGUGGCAGCUCAUCAGGGCUGUAUUUUAGCUCUGCUUUUACCUUCCUUGUUUUUCCUUUUCAUUGCUUGGCAAGGUAAAAGAAGAAAAGACCAUUUGAAGAUUGAAAACUUGUGCUUGCACCUGUUUUUAAAUUAUUUUUUUUGAAAGAUUUUAUUUAUUUAUUUGACAGAGAGAGAUCACAGGUAGGAAGAGAGGCAGGCAGAGAGAGAGGGGAGGAAGCAGGCUCCCUGCUGAGCAGAGAGCCCAAUGUGGGACUCUGAUCCCAGGACCCUGAGAUCAUGACCUGAGCUGAAGGCAGCGGCUUAACCCACUGAGCCACCCAGGCGCCCCAUGCACCUGUUUUUAAAAGUCAUGCAGUACCAGUUGAAGGCCUAGCAUCUGGCUACACGCUGUCUCCCAACGCAUCUCCUAGCACUCUGCCCUCAUUAACUCCACCCUAGCCACACUGGUCACCUUCCUCUUGAUCCACAUGUCAAGCACACUCCUGCCUCAGGGCCUUUGAACCUGCUAUUCCCUCUGCUAGAACAUCCUUCUCACCUACAUCUGUAAACUUCACUGCCCCACUUCAUUCAGACCUGAGUUCAGAUGUCCCCACCUCAGAAAAUUUGGCCUUCCCCAAUGGACUCUUCCUAAAUUAAUACCCCUGUUACUUUCUACUUCCCCAGUGAGCUUUGUUUUUCUUCCCAAAAUAUCCUCUUUACCUGAUGUAAUAUUAUAUGCCUACUUUGUGUUUUGUUAGUGAAUGAACCCAAUAUCGGGGAAUUCUGAAAGAAUGUCCAGCAUGGGUCUGGGAGUACAUUGAAAUCACCAGGACAUUUUGAUGUACACCUUGGUUAAGAACAUGGUAUAAGGUAGGUACUUCAUAGCUUUUGGCAUCAGUUGGUCUAGAUUAAAAUUCCAGUUUGACAAGCAUAGGACGUCACAACUGUAGGCCCAAUCAGAUACACAGUAGUAAUAAUACCUGUUUCCCAAGGUUAUGCAGAAACUACCACCAGGUGAUGGAUUUGAGACAACUUCCUGAACCAGAAAGUGUUAUAUAAAUAUUAGUUACUAGUGCAUCAUUUCUUCUCUGAAGGUGAUCUUAUAUUUUGAAGAAUAAAAAUUUUUAAUAAGAAUAAAAUAUAUUUUUAUUAGAACCCCAGACAGUCUUCUCUGAAUCAGAUCGUUGCUUCUAUGUAAACUCUAAAUUGUACGUCCAUUUCUAUCUCUGAAGGCAGUGCAAAUGAGAAAUGAAUCAAAUUUGGCCAAUACUCAUAGCCAAUCGAAAUAAUUCUGUAUUCCGAAAUUCAGUAUUACCACAGCGAUUUUGGCAGCACUGCCCCAGUGUGGGCGCGGUGAAGAGCCGACCUCCCGGGGUUGAGAGUCGCUGAACUUCGCUUUGCCCUUCCGGAGUCCAGCUCACCCAGGAAGGUGGAAGCGGCUGGCGGGAGCGCGUGGAGAGGUGGAGGACAGGUGCGGCGGUGAAGGUGCCUCUGGUGGGGAGAGCCGCAGACAGCACUUCUGGGAGCAGCAAGCGGGAAAUGUGGCAGUAGCUCUAAUCAGAGGAGAUUCCAGUGUGGUCCCCGAAGGGGCUGGGUCCUGUGACAUAAAACAAUCAGUGAACUGAGUUUCCGACUCUCGCGGCCAGCCUGCACCACGCCAAAGAGGUAUUACAACAGAAGUGGCAGUGAUAGGAAUUAAUCCUCCAGAGAGCAGAUGUGUGGUUGUCUUUUAUGAUCAUCAGGGAAGGACUUCAGAACACACAGGCUCUCUCUGACGAGGAAUUCCUGCCGAAGUUAUAUGGCUUACUCCUCUUUCGAAGAAUGCCCAUUGUCACAUAAGUCACAGGAAUGAAUCUGGAUGAUUUCCCCAAUUUCAGAUGAGCACAUGCCCUC